rnacentral:rRNA from 1 species
GCCUGGACCCUAACAACGGUGUAUGGCCCGCAUGAUGAUCAGCGCAAGAGCGAGUUCCUGGCGGAACUUGCCUCUAUCCACAACACCAUGAUGGGGCUGUGGAUCCUAAUCGGUGACUUCAAUCUCAUUACGAAUCCGCAAGACAAGAAUAACUCGCGAAUUUGCCGCCGUUGGAUGAACAAGUUUAGGCGUACCCUAAACUCCUCAAGCCUCCACGAAAUCCCUCUGAUUGGGCGCAGAUUCACAUGGAGCAAUGAGCAAGCUUCCCCUACCCUCGUGCGCCUUGAUCGGGCCUUCUGUAAUAUUGAUUGGGAGUUGAUCUUCCCGAUGGCCAAACUCCUUCCGCAAUCUUCUGCAAUAUCCGAUCACUGUCUGCUUAUGUUAAUCAACGACAGAAUCAUCAAGACCAACAAGCGCUUCCAUUUCGAAUCCUACUAG